CAUCUUUUUGAACUUUUUAAAGGAGAGUUACAAGAAAGACCUGUUUGUAGUUAUGUAUGUUUCAACAUUUCUCUAAGACUGCAAUCCUAUAAAUAGAGAAAACAUUGAGAAUUUGGAGAGAUCGCAGAUAAGACAUCCACCAUGAAAAGUCUCUACCUUCUCCUUGCUGUCACUGUCCUCCUCUUCCAUGUUGCUUCAGCUCAACCACCAACAACAAGGGACUGUGCUGCUCUGGGAGGAUACUGCCACGUGCCACUGAGUGAAGAAUGUCCCUCUGGUGAAGAUCUUCCAGCCAACUGUGGCAUCAAUGGAAGGUGCUGCAAAUCAUGAUCUGAGAUUCAGACCUUUGCUUGCGGAAAGAAGCCACCCUGAACAAUGCUUUGGAAGUAGCCAUGGAAUAAUCCAAUCAUCAGCUAAUUAAAUCCAGAUUAAAUGUGUACAUUGUAACCCUUUUCUAAUGCACAAUACAAGUUAUACUGUGGUCUUGAUAGAAUGUUGUCUCUUCUGGUUUCAGUUCGGUUCACAUUAAUGUGCACUCAAAAAUCAACCUGAGAUUUGGAACAAUUCCAAAUGAUACAGCUUAUUGUGGUCCUGUGCCAGAAAGUCAUUUCCAUUUUAUGGGAAAUCUAAGGGAUUUUCUGGAGCUGAGAGUUUAUGACUAGUUAAAGGUCAUUCGGUGGGGAUCAAACCCUGUUCUAUAGAGUCAUAGCACAAUGCUCAAAUCACUACACCACAUAGGCAGUGAUUCUCUUUGCAGCACUAAUAUUAACAGUUUUGAAGAAUGUAAGAAAUCUAUUGUGUUGCUAGAGUGGGGAUAAGAUGCAAGGAAAUGAAGUGGUGGGGCUAUCUCUGUGAUCAUGAUGACUUGCAAGUAAAACACCACUGGGCAAUCCACAUGGCCAAGAUUGCUAUCAUUCCAGGCUUCACAAUGGGGAGGGAAAAUGGCCAUCUUGUUCUAAAGUCCAGAGUGUUCACAGCAAGGAUGGGAUGCAGGCUCAGGAAGUGAACAGAGCUCAUACAUCCACGCAAUAUGGGUUUAGAGCCCUUUGGGGAAGGUGGACAAGUGCCACAUGAGAACUCUAUGGAUUCAUGAAGUGUAUCACAUAAUGAUUCGGUAGAAGAGGAGUCUACAAAUCUAUUUCCAUUGCUUGGGAUAAGUGUACAAACCACAUAAAAGACUCAGUCUCUAUCUCAAGAUGGAUGCUUGAAGUCAGAAUACAGUAGGUAUUGGUUUUGAUCCUUAAAAGCCUACAUGGUUUGGGUCCUGGUUACCAAUACAUGCAGGAUUGCUUCUCCCAUACCAUUCAACCCAGACACUUGGGUCCUCAGGGAAGGGUUGGGAUGGGGAGCUACAUGUGUAAACAAAUGUGCUGUCGUCGCCAACCAUUUCAUAGAUCUUUCCAAC
rnacentral:lncRNA from 11 species